rnacentral:rRNA from 1 species
GGUAGUCCACGCCCUAAACGAUGUCAACUAGCUGUUGGGGCCUUCGGGCCUUGGUAGCGCAGCUAACGCGUGAAGUUGACCGCCUGGGGAGUACGGUCGCAAGAUUAAAACUCAAAGGAAUUGACGGGACCCGCACAAGCGGUGGAUGAUGUGGAUUAAUUCGAUGCAACGCGAAAAACCUUACCUACCCUUGACAUGUCUGGAAUCCCAAGGAGAUUAGGGAGUGCUCGCAAGAGAACCGGAACACAGGUGCUGCAUGGCUGUCGUCAGCUCGUGUCGUGAGAUGUUGGGUUAAGUCCCGCAACGAGCGCAACCCUUGUCAUUAGUUGCUACGAAAGGGCACUCUAAUGAGACUGCCGGUGACAAACCGGAGGAAGGUGGGGAUGACGUCAAGUCCUCAUGGCCCUUAUGGGUAGGGCUUCACACGUCAUACAAUGGUCGGGACAGAGGGUCGCCAACCCGCGAGGGGGAGCCAAUCCCAGAAACCCGAUCGUAGUCCGGAUCGUAGUCUGCAACUCGACUACGUGAAGUCGGAAUCGCUAGUAAUCGCGGAUCAGAAUGUCGCGGUGAAUACGUUCCCGGGUCUUGUACACACCGCCCGUCACACCAUGGGAGUGGGUUCCACCAGAAGUAGUUAGCCUAACCGCAAGGAGGGCGAUUACCACGGUGGGGUUCAUGACUGGGGUGAAGUCGUAACAAGGUAGCCGUAUCGGAAGGUGC